UACAGAGGGUGCGAGCGUUGUUCGGAAUUAUUGGGCGUAAAGGGCGCGUAGGCGGUGCGGUAAGUCACCUGUGAAAUCUCCUGGCUCAACUGGGAGCUUGCAGGCGAAACUGCCGUGCUGGAGUGUGGGAGAGGUGCGUGGAAUUCCUGGUGUAGCGGUGAAAUGCGUAGAUAUCAGGAGGAACACCAAUGGCGAAGGCAAUCUUCUGGACGAAAACUGACGCUGAGACACGAAAGCCAAGGUAGCAAACAGG
rnacentral:rRNA from 1 species